AUGUUCAGCUCAAGUGAUGUAAAGUUUGAUUAGCAAUAUACAAGCACCACUAAUAACUAUCCAACAACUAAUCACCAAGCUACAUAAGCAUUCCUAGAAUAUGCUGCUGGCAAGGCUCACCACCCCUCAACACAUAAUCAACAGGGCACAAUUUCUUUUAUAUAUUAACACGUGAUUUUUAUACAUUGUUCUUUCUGAUGUACGGAUAAGGUACCAGAGUAGUUGUUCCCGACACUUGAUUUAGCCUUUUCUAUAGUUAAGCUAAAAGAGUUUUUUGUGUCAAUGAAAUGACAAGCACUUCCCUCUCCUCAACGGGAUUCCUCAACUGCGACACUCGAAUAAGUACAAGUGAGACUAUCCACUGCUGCUCCAUUUUCUUUCGUUUUACUCCAAGAUAUUCUCCAACUUUGAAAUAAACUCACCCUAUUUGUUUCAAUGUCCCUUUUAGCAAGCAUUAAUGUCAAGAAGACAGGCACCAUUGCUGCACAUAAGUGUUUGACUGUGUGCCCACUUACAAUAUGAUAAGUCCAGUUGUAGAUUGGCUUAUCAGCUGCUUCUUCAAUCUUCGCUAAAAGAUAAAACCCUGCAGCCCACAGCCAAUAAGUGGAAUGUGUGUACAUCGGAGGUAGCAAAAUAGCCAUGAGUGGGAUGGCUAAGCACGGUACAAAUUGCACUGCUGCAUAGGGACGAAGAUCAUCAAAGAACCUCCAAUACAUAAUACUUACUACACCAGCAAGAAUUAAUGGAAUGAGAGACACAGUUCCCUUUCUCUCAUCUAUUCUUUCGAUAAUAAAGAUACCAAUGAUAGACGUAAAUGCAACAGUCAUUGGCAAUCUAUCCCACACAAGACGAGCAUCAUUUGGCUUGAGAUGAUAGUAUGCAGACCCAAAAGCAACAGCUGCCACACCAAUAUAGAAGCACGUCCAACCCCAAAGCUCUCCUUGCAAGCUCAGCUUAAAAUAGUUACCAUGAUGGCAAAGUACAAGACCUAUCAGACCGAUCACAAGAAAAGGGAAAUUUGAGACCACAUUCAGUGCAUUGGGAAUCCCUAGAAACUUGCGUUGAUCGGCAAAAUUAUGAUAUUCUUGAGACUGAGGAAUUGCUGGAGUAACAAUCAUGAGCACUACGAAGCAGACGAUUGCGACUCCCCAUGCCCACACACUUGUCUUCCUCAUUUUCUUGGUGUUAAUUUUGCCCUAAU
rnacentral:misc_RNA from 1 species